rnacentral:rRNA from 1 species
GAUGAACGCUGGCGGCGUGCCUAAUACAUGCAAGUCGAGCGAAUGGAUUAAGAGCUUGCUCUUAUGAAGUUAGCGGCGGACGGGUGAGUAACACGUGGGUAACCUGCCCAUAAGACUGGGAUAACUCCGGGAAACCGGGGCUAAUACCGGAUAACAUUUUGAACCGCAUGGUUCGAAAUUGAAAGGCGGCUUCGGCUGUCACUUAUGGAUGGACCCGCGUCGCAUUAGCUAGUUGGUGAGGUAACGGCUCACCAAGGCAACGAUGCGUAGCCGACGUGGGAGGGUGAUCGGCCACACUGGGACUGAGACACGGCCCAGACUCCUACGGGAGGCAGCAGUAGGGAAUCUUCCGCAAUGGACGAAAGUCUGACGGAGCAACGCCGCGUGAGUGAUGAAGGCUUUCGGGUCGUAAAACUCUGUUGUUAGGGAAGAACAAGUGCCAGUUGAAUAAGCUGGCACCUUGACGGUACCUAACUAGAAAGCCACGGCUAACUACGUGCCAGCCGCCGCGGUAA